AUGGCUCCAGGAAGGAAUAAUUAAAAGAGUAAGAUACGCGGGGCUAAUGUAUUUCAGGGGCUACAAUUACUAUAAAAAAAUACAUCGUAGUCUUUAAUAUAUAUGCUAGGCUUUUUAUUAUUCCUUAUGUCGGCUCCUCAUGGUCCCAGGAUCACCGAGGAAAGAAAUAAAAAAGUAAUUAAAAUACGCGGGGCUAUAUAGUAUUUCAGGGACUAUAUAGGGCUACAACUACUAUAAAAAUACAUCGUAGCCUUCAAUAUAUAUUCUAGACUGUUUAUUAUUCCUUAGGUCGGCUCCUCAUGGCUCCAGGAAGGAAUUAAAAAGUAAAAUACGCGGAGCUAAUGUAUUUCAGGGGCUAUAUAUAGUGCUCAAGGAAAUUAUAUAUAUCACUAUAGCUACGGGAAAUACAAUAAAUAAAUAAGGACAAUUUACAGUUUCACCCACCAACGAUUUUCUUACGCGGUUCAUGUUUUUCUGGUGAUGAUUGUAUUGAAAAGAAGUAUGGCUCGAUAAGACAUUUGCGACGGAAAUGAGGUACAAAAUCAAGCAAUUCACUACAUUUAUCACCAGAAAAACAUGAACCACAUAAGAAAACUGUAAAAUGACCAUAAAGAACCACUACAACAUUAUACAUUUACUAUAAUAACUAAAUACUGGCAGGCUAUAAGAAAUACUAACCAUAGCUACCACCGUAAAACAUAACAUAAAUAACAUAACAUAAAAUAAAAUAAGCAAAUAUAUAAUUCCUUAACUCUUAACAUGGACACCUAUUUUCAUAUAUUUCUGCAUUAAUACCUGUAUCUUCACAUAUAUCGCUUGAGGGGCAGGAUAUAUAUAUAGCAAACACGUAAUUGCCUCUGGUAUUUCAAGGCAUCAUGUAUUUAUCCGUCUAUUAACUUGCUCAUACAAACAUUAUAGUCCAUAUUUACCUAAGAUAUGCGUCACUGGCAAGCCUUAUCGUCCGUAUUACCAUGACUACCUGGGCUCAAGCAAGGGGACAGGUAUGGGACAGGUAUGAGACAGGUGUGGGACAGAUGUAGGGACAGGUGUGGGACAGGUGUAGGGACAGGUAUAGUGACAUGUGUGGGAGAGGUAUAGUGACAGAUGUGGGACAGGUAUAGUGACAGGUGUGGGAGAGGUAUAGUGACAGGUGUAGGGACAGGUGUAGUACAGGUGAGUGACAGGUGUAGGGACAGGUGUGGGACAUGUGUAAGACAGGAGUAGGGACAGGUAUAGUGACAGGUGUGGGGAUAGGUGUGGGACAGGUGUAGAGACAAGUGUGGAGACAGGUGUGGAACAGGUGUGAAGUGAUCGGCCAGGUGUGCUUCGUGUAUGCAUACUUAAUUUAACCUCCAUGAAAACAAGAAUACUAUACAAGCUUGAUGCAUUUUUUCCAUAUUUUUUUGUUUUUCCGUCUGUCAUUCCAUUUACUUUUUUGCCUUUAUCUCGGGUUUCGUUGCGUCUAUCGUCAUUUCAUUUAUUGAGGCUAAAACUACAUUCUUUUGGCUAUCUACUGGUACUUGAAACAUCCUGGUAGGGUAGACCGUUCUCUUGUAAUCUUUAAAAAUCUACCGUCUUUUUUGGCUCAUUCUUACAUACUUUUUCAAUUCUGUGUUUGUCAUUGUACUUUUUUGCGUUUUUUCUAGGGUUUAAGACUCGUAUAAGACAUAGCUGUCGGCCACCUCACUAGGCCUACUUGAAAUGCCUCUCGUGGAAGUUCUUGGGCUUUUUCAUGGACUGCUUUGUGAUCCCAGUGAUAGAUUUACACAACUUUGAGACUUUGAUCGGGCUGAGAGUUCAUUGUUCUGCGUGUCCCGGGGUUCGAAUCCAGGUCAGCCCUAUCAGAUAACGAGGCGGCAGCACUGACAGCGUGAUGAUUUCUUUGUCCGGAGAGAUAAAACGAGGACUCGAUGAUCAUUGUUGCCAAGCUUGUCAGGGAGGCCACGGAAUCACCUGUUCUUGUUCCUGUUAACCUUGUCUGUCUGUAUGAAGCAUGUUUGAUGGGUAUGUGUGUGUUUGUGUUCUCUCUCUCUCUCUCUCUCUCUCUCUCUCUCUCUCUCUCUCUCUCUCUCUCUCUCUCUCUCUCUCUCUCUCUUAUGCCCCUCCCUUCUCCUUUGUUGUUUACUUGCAACAAUAAACUAUCAGUCAAUCAAUCUCUCUCUC